GUGCCGGAAGAGGAAGUCUCUGCAAGCCCCGAAGGAGACAGACGCGAUGGGACUCCCGGGGGCCAGCUCUCGUUCAUCAUCCCUGUGCUCGCCGAUGUGGUCGCUGCCAUCUUUGUACCUGUCGUGGGAAAACAAUCCCAAUGCCGAAGAAACCCUCUCCUUCCCCUGCGGAUGCUGCAGGAGCCUCAUCCUCUUGUAGCCCAAAGCAGCGUACUGCUUCUGCACACCCCUAGCCUGGGAGGCCAGGGAGCCCAGCCUGGAUGUCUUCGCCAAGUGCGGUGGUUUGAAUGAGAGAGGCCCCCAGAGGCCCAUAGGUCUGCAUGCUUGGCUCCCAGUCAGUGGAACUCUGGGGCCGAUCAGGAGGUGUGGCCUUGUCGGCGGAGGUGUGUCCUCGUGGUUGGGCUUUGAAGUUUCAAAAGCUCACACCAGGCCGGGCGGUGGUGGCGCACGCCUUUAAUCCCAGCACUCGGGAGGCAGAGCCAGGCGGAUCUCUGUGAGUUCGAGGCCAGCCUGGUCUCCAAAGCGAGUUCCAGGAAAGGCGCAAAGCUACACAGAGAAACCCUGUCUCGAAAAACCAAAAAAAAAAAAAAAAAAAAAAAAAAAAUCAAAAGCUCACACCAAGCCCAGUGUCUGUCCCUCUCUGCCUGCUGCCUGCAGAUCAGAUCGUCAAGCUCCGGGCUACUGCUCCAGUGCCACACCUGUCUGCUGCCCACCAUGAUGAGCAUGGACUAACUCUCUAAAACAGUGAGCAAGCCUCAAGGAGAUGCUUUCUUUAAUAGGGUUGCUUUGGGCAUGGUGUCUCCUCACAGCAACAGGACACUGACUAGGACACUUAGUUACUUGUGAUGCCUGCAGACCUCACACAUCACAUCAACUAGCCACGCCUUCCAGUCACCGGGUUCACGCAUGGAAAGCCUGCCCUGUUCCUCCUGCACACACACCAACCGUCACCCUGUGCAGUCCAGCCCCGCUCUUCAUACUCUUCUCUCCCCGGUUCCUGAUCCCCAGCCGCACCAAAGGGAUGUCCACUCCAUGGACACCAUGCGCUCCCUCGGCUCAACUCCAGACAUUGGUGUCUCCAGCUCUAGAUUCGCUCUCGAACACGCUCUAGAACUGGAAUCCAGGGCUUCGGUGUCAGCGUGAGACCGGAAAACGUGUAUGUCAGCCCAGCGUCUCCGUAGGUCGCCUGCUUCCUGGGAACGCUGUGCCACUUUCCAAACACCUGGACCUUGGCCAGAGCACCUGU